rnacentral:misc_RNA from 1 species
AGAAUCACUCUAUGAGAAGGCUGAGGAGACUUCAGAAGACAUGAAUAAAAUUGAAGCAGAACUUGAAGCUGAACUUGAGAGAUUGGGGCUAAACAUGAAUACAUCUAAUUUGGAGAGAAGGCUCUCUGAUCUUGUUGAGCUUGACCCAAAUUUUGUAGCAGACAUUGCUCAAGGUGAACUGCGGGCAGACAUGGUCAAUGGGCAAGCUGUUAACCAACUUGAAUCAGAUAGAGAUGCAAGUGGUACCUCAACAUCUCAUACCGGAAAUUAUACAGUUUCACCCCGAGAACUGAGCCUGCGUCUGCAUGAAGUUAUUCAAUCCAGACUUGAAGAGCGGGUGAAGAAGCUUGAGAUGGCCCUUAAAAGCAGUGAGAGGAA